rnacentral:piRNA from 1 species
UGGGCCUAUGUUCUUCCCUCUAUCAGCCUGC